rnacentral:rRNA from 1 species
GUGCAGCAGGCGCGAAACUUUACAAUGUGCGAAAGCACGAUAAGGGAACUCUGAGUGCCUCCUAAGGAGGCUGUUCAGGUGUCUAAAAGCACCUGAAGGAAGGGCUGGGUAAGACCGGUGCCAGCCGCCGCGGUAACACCGGCAGCCCAAGUGGUAGCCACGUUUAUUGGGUCUAAAGCGUCCGUAGCCGGCUGGGUAAGUUCCUUGGGAAAUUUGGCUGCUUAACAGUCAAGCUUUCAGGGAAUACUGCUCGGCUUGGGACCGGGAGAGGUCAGAGGUACUCCAGGGGUAGGGGUGAAAUCCAUUAAUCCUUGGGGGACCACCGGUAGCGAAGGCGUCUGACCAGACCGGGUCCGACGGUGAGGGACGAAGGCUAGGGGCGCGAACCGGAUUAGAUACCCGUGUAGU